ACUCUCAUUCGGAGAGUUUAUGCAGUUACCCACUGCGUACCAGCUAGAACCUGGACUAACAUAAAGGAAAAACAAAUG
rnacentral:ncRNA from 1 species